rnacentral:rRNA from 1 species
GAGUUUUGAUCAUGGCUCAGGAUGAACGCUAGCGGGAGGCCUAACACAUGCAAGCCGAGCGGUAGAGAUCUUUCGGGAUCUUGAGAGCGGCGUACGGGUGCGGAACACGUGUGCAACCUGCCUUUAUCUGGGGGAUAGCCUUUCGAAGGAAGAUUAAUACCCAUAAUAUACUGGAUGGCAUCAUUCGGUAUUGAAAACUCCGGUGAUAGAGAUGGGCACGCGCAAGAUUAGAUAGUUGGUGAGGUAAC